AUUGAACGCUGGCGGUAGGCCUAACACAUGCAAGUCGAACGGCAGCACAGUAAUAGCUUGCUCUUACGGGUGGCGAGUGGCGGACGGUUGAUGAAUACAUCGGAAUCUACUUUUUCGUGGGGGCUAACGUAGGGAAACUUACGCUAAUACCGCAUACGACCUACGGGUGAAAGCAUGGGAUCUUCGGACCUUGCGUGAUUGAAUGAGCCGAUGUCGGAUUAGCUAGUUGGCGGGGUAAAGGCCCACCAAGGCGACGAUCCGUAGCUGGUCUGAGAGGAUGAUCAGCCACACUGGAACUGAGACACGGUCCAGACUCCUACGGGAGGCAGCAGUGGGGAAUAUUGGACAAUGGGCGAAAGCCUGAUCCAGCCAUACCGCGUGGGUGAAGAAGGCCUUCGGGUUGUAAAGCCCUUUUGUUGGGAAGGAAAGGCAGCAAGUUAAUACCCCGCUGUUCUGACGGUACCCAAAGAAUAAGCACCGGCUAACUUCGUG
rnacentral:rRNA from 1 species